CUCCUACUCCCUCCGUUCGGAAUUACUUGUCUCGGAAAUGGAUGUAUCUAGAACUAAAAUACGUCUAGAUACAUCCAUUUCUGCGACAAGUAAUUCCGAACGGAGGGAGUAGAAG
rnacentral:pre_miRNA from 1 species